GACGAACGCUGGCGGCGUGCUUAACACAUGCAAGUCGAACGGAAAGGCCCUGCUUUUGUGGGGUGCUCGAGUGGCGAACGGGUGAGUAACACGUGAGUAACCUGCCCUUGACUUUGGGAUAACUUCAGGAAACUGGGGCUAAUACCGGAUAGGAGCUCCUGCUGCAUGGUGGGGGUUGGAAAGUUUCGGCGGUUGGGGAUGGACUCGCGGCUUAUCAGCUUGUUGGUGGGGUAGUGGCUUACCAAGGCUUUGACGGGUAGCCGGCCUGAGAGGGUGAUCGGCCACACUGGAGCUGAGUCGGGGACCAGACUGCUGCAGGAGGCAGCAGUGGGGACUAUUGGACAAUGGGCGCGAGCCUGGGCCAGACGUACCGCGUGGGUGAAGAAGGCGCUCGGGUUGGAAAGCCGUGUUGUUGGGAAAGAAAAGCAGCAGGUUAAUACCCCGCUGUUCUGACGGUACCCAAAGAAUAAGCACCGGCUAACUUCGUG
rnacentral:rRNA from 1 species